AGCAGCGUGGCUCAGUGGAAAGAGCACGGGCUUGGGAGCCAGAGGUCAUGGGUUCGAAUCCCAGCUCGGCCA
rnacentral:tRNA from 1 species